UGCUCAGUUUUCUUCACAGUCCAACUCUCGCAUCCAUACGUGACCACUGGAAAAACCAUAGCCUUGACUAGAUGGACCUUUGUUGGCAAAGUAAUGUCUGUGCUUUUCAAUAUGCUAUCUAGGUUGUAAAGGCCAAAUUACAGGCUUUUUAACCCCACCAUAUUGCAGUAACUUUAGCUAUAGAAUGAAAGUAGAAUUGGGAUGUAAAUAAGGCAGCUCUCAGCAUCAGCAGGGAAUUGGUUCCAGGACACUACCCACGUUGUCCCCCCAAGGCCGCCAGAGCCCCUUAUAUAAAACGGCAUGGUAUUUAUGUGUAACCUACGUACAUCCUCCUGUGUUCUGUAAAUCAUUCCUAGAUUUUGUCUGAUAAUAUAAUGUGAAGGCUGUGUAAACAGUUGCUAGGGCAUGCAGCAAACUCAAGUUUUGCUUGUUGGAUUUUUCUGGAAUUUUUUUUCCUGAAUAUUUUCAAUCUGCAGUUGAUUGAAUCCUCAAAUGUGGAACCCGUUUUUUAGAGGGCCAAAUGUAAGUUCCAGUGAUUUUUUUUCACAUUAAACUUAACAUUUUAAAAGCAUCCUUAAGCAUCUUGCUCUUCGUUGGUUAAAUAACAUACAAAGUUAAGUUAAAAGAAGGUAUUAUAUUUUCGUUUAAAUCAUCUUCACUGUAGCAAUGACAAAAAAAUAAAUCUUAUACCUACUGUAUCUCAAUUUUUGUUAUGUGCAGAUGUAAAAUAUUUUAACUGGCUAAAUUAAAGUGUUAGUCACUCAAUCCGACUCUGUGACCUGUGGACUGUAGCCUGUGAGGCUCCUCUGUCUAUGAAAUUCUCAAGGCAAGAGUACAGGAGUGCCAUUCAGAAAUCUUCCUGACCCAGGGAUCAAACCCUGGUCUGCAUUACAGGCAGAUUCUUUACCAUCUGAGCCACUAGGGAAGCCCCAUCUAACUGUAGAGGGAAUCCAAAUCCUCUUUCUUUUCCCUUGGGCAGAACAGAGUUCCUGGCCUGUCUUUCUCAUACCUACACUCAACUCCUAACCCACUAGAGGAAAAGAGAAAGACUGGAAAGGACUCUGCAAAUAAUUUCCCUUGAAAUAGAUGGAUUAGAGUAUUUUAACAAGGCUUGCAUGAACUAGAAAGGUUUGGGAUGUGCAGAAACCAGUCACAAGGAUAAGGCACAGUUUUCAAGGCUAAGGUAGACCCCUGAGAACACUGCUGUUUGCCAUUAAUAUCAAGUUGCGCUUUUACCUGUUGAAUGCUUUUUUUGUUGUUUAAGAUGAGUAAAAAGGAAACUAGUCAGCUGCUUUGUACUUCCUGGAACAGAGGUUUGAAACAGGGCCCCAACUCUCAAGAGUAAGAACUCCAUGCAUAAAAAAGUAAUCACAAAUAUUCAAAUGUAAAGGUAUUAAUACGAACUAAAGGUUGACAUUUUAAUUUGAUCUUUUUUGUUAAAUGAGUACCUUGAUGUACAGGGGUUGUUGGAAUUUUUAUUAUAGGUUUAUCCUGCACAAGAAAAUUUCCUGUCUAUGGGAAAUAAAAUCGAAGGAUUUCCUGAGUGAGAAUUAGUUCUAUUAACUUUUAUGUUUUCAUAUUUCAUGCCAUCUUAGUGUUUGAAGUGUAAGAAAUUUGGGCCUUCAUUUGUAGCUAUGGGGCUAUCAUAUGAUAUCACUUAUAUGUAGAAUCUUUUAAAAAAGAUACAAGUGAUUUACAAAACAGACUCACAGACUCUGAGGACAAUUUAGGGUUACAGGGGAUGGGGGGAAGUGGGAGGAGGCAGGAUAGAUUGAGAAUUUGAGAUUGACAAGUACAUACUGCUAUGUUUAAAAUAGAUAACCAGCGAAGAACUACUGGAUUGCACAGGGACGGCUGCUCAAUAUUCUGAGUCCCAGAUGCGACUUGGGUGCUAGAAGUGGUCAAAUAUCCAGUGCUUAUUCCAAAAUUACUGUUUUUAUAGAUGGUUUCUCCUUGGCUUCUGACUUGCGUGGUUCCCAGCUCCCUGAACUCAAGUUAGUACAGCAGCUCUAUGGAUUGAAAUGAUUUGUAGUCCAGUCAAGGAGCCCAUCUACCACAGACUUAGUUUUACUCUAAAGAAGAAAUCUGUUUCAAGUUCCAUGCAACUAACAUACAAAGGAAGGUGGAGGCAAUGUGGAGACCAGCUACACAGUCCCUAUAAUUCUCCAGGCCAGAAUACUGGAGUGGGGAGCCUAUCCCUUUUCCAGAGGAUCUUCCCAACCCAGGAAUCAAACCGGGGUCUCCUGCAUUGCAGGCCGAUUCUUCACCACCUGAGCUACCCAGGGAAACCCUAUAUAUAGUUGUUUCGGGUUUUGAUUUUCUUUUCAAAUGUAAGCUCAGUUCAUUACAUAAUUAGGAAGUUUGUGAAAUUUUAAUAUGUUAAUUGACAACUACUAGAGGGAGAAACAAAAACUUACUCUUGCAUUUGCUGUUUUUGGUGAGAACAGUUUUAGCCAGAGAUUUGAAUGGAGAGGAGACAGGAGGCCAUGUAGCUACUCUGUAUCAGAAUUAAGUAACCAGCUGCAGGUGAGUACCAUGCACCAGAGAAACAAGCAACCAGCUGUAGGUGAGCGGGUGGUUAGUUUUAAGCGCAGGAACGGUCUUAGGAGUUUGGUGGACCCUCUGGGUGAAUAGGAAGUGACUUAUCUUCUGAACCUAAUUCUUACAUAGCCCAUAUUGCCACCCACCCUGCAAGGAGAGGGCUGGCCAAGAACAUCGACGCUGAUUUACGAGGAGAAAUGAGGACACCUUUUACCCCAGAUCUGGAUUUGUGACAGUGUCGGUGUACAAUGAUUCCAUUCAGACCAAGACAGAAUUCCAAGUCUCCGGGGUGUUCCCUUCCCCACACCUCCACUCUUCCUCUCCUAGCCUUUCUGGCGACAUUCAGGCUGGUGCUUCUCAAACUUUUGGGUGCCUGAGAACCUCUUGGGGAGCUAAUGAUGGCACAGAUACCUGGCCCUCUUUCCAGAAACUGAGGUGACCCUCUCCAGAAGGGAACAUUUGCUCUGAAUCAGAAACCUGGGAAGUUUUGUUCAGAAUUAAGCUACACCCUCAAUGAUAAAAAUCUGGGCAUUUUUCCUCCAAAAGCUUUCAUUUAAUCGAGAGUUUUCUAACAGAAUGAAGAUAAGGGCUGUCCAGUCUAGAACUUCGCCAACAGGGACUCUUGGAUUCCUGAUUAAUCUCUGUCUUUCUCCUCUCCCUACUAUAUGCCUUGAGAAACCUGGCUUCCUUUAUUAUUAUAUCUUAAUUUUACUUACAAAGGAAAGCGUUGCCAGUCUCAUCUGUUUCAAAUGCCAUUUCUUUGAAAUCCCUUUUGGAAAAGGAUCAUGGUUUGCGGCCUUUCAGAGAACAAGAAUACAUCUUUAAAAUUUUGGGGCCACUGGGCAGUAUGCAGGAUUUUAGUUCCCCUACCAGGGACCAUUGAACCUCUGCCCCCUGCAUUGGAAGCAUGGAGUCUUAGCCACUGGACCACCAGGGAAGUCUCUAAGACCACCAGGGAAGUCUCUAAGAAUGUAUCUUACCUAAGUGUCCUUUGAACUUUUAAAGUUCUUUGGCUUUCUGUAAACUGAGCCAACAGGGGUCUUCAGGCCCUACAUUCAUUAAUGGAGUCACACAGCAAGCAUUAGCAACAAGGAUGAAGUGGCGACACAAACCUGUAAUGGUCAUCACCCAUCACCCUUUCCUCAGCGCACACUAGGAUCCAGGUGCGGUCCCUCAGGCACUUUACUAGCAUUCUCUUGUAAUUUAAGUCAGAUUUAUUACCUUCACUUUGCAGAUAGGAAAACACAUAACAGAUACAGUCACCGGAACAGGAGCUCAGAGCUAAGAAACGCAAGCAUCUCUGACUGCAUGACCUUGGCUUCAACGCCACCUUGCAGCAGUUCCGCAUGAUGGUCAUCAAGUCAGUCUGUCUCUCCAAGCCUUGAUGACCCCACCCCUCGGGGACCUUGGGAAAAAGCACUUGUCUCUUGUGUGCCUUUAUUUAACCCAGGCCGAUGAG